rnacentral:rRNA from 1 species
GAUGAACGCUGGCGGCGUGCCUAAUACAUGCAAGUCGAGCGAACAGACGAGGAGCUUGCUCCUCUGACGUUAGCGGCGGACGGGUGAGUAACACGUGGAUAACCUACCUAUAAGACUGGGAUAACUUCGGGAAACCGGAGCUAAUACCGGAUAAUAUAUUGAACCGCAUGGUUCAAUAGUGAAAGACGGUUUUGCUGUCACUUAUAGAUGGAACCGCGCCGCAUUAGCUAGUUGGUAAGGUAACGGCUUACCAAGGCAACGAUGCGGAGCCGACCUGAGAGGGUGAGCCGGCCCACCGGAACUGAGACACCGGACCGGCUCCCAACGGAAGGAAGCAUCGGGGAUUUUUCCGCAAUGGGCGAAGCCUGAAAGAGCCAACGCGUCGGGGUGGAGAAAGGGUGUCGGUUCGUAAACCUCUUUUUUAGGGAAAGACCAAAUGGGCAGUGACUAAGCACGUCCUGGCCGUAACCAAAUCGAAAGGCCCCGCCAACCUCCUU